UGCCAGCAGCCGCGGUAAUACGGAGGAUGCGAGCGUUAUCCGGAAUUACUGGGCGUAAAGCGCACGUAGGCGGAUCAAUAAGUCAGGGGUGAAAUCCCGAGGCUCAACCUCGGAACUGCCUUUGAUACUGUUGGUCUUGAGUUCGAGAGAGGUGAGUGGAAUUCCGAGUGUAGAGGUGAAAUUCGUAGAUAUUCGGAGGAACACCAGUGGCGAAGGCGGCUCACUGGCUCGAUACUGACGCUGAGGUGCGAAAGCGUGGGGAGCAAACAGGAUUAGAUA
rnacentral:rRNA from 1 species